rnacentral:rRNA from 1 species
UUAGAGUUUGAUCAUGGCUCAGGAUUAACGCUAGCGGCAGGCCUAAUACAUGCAAGUCGAGGGGUAAAUCGCGCAGCAAUGCGUGAUGAGACCGGCGCACGGGUGAGUAACGCGUAUGCAACUUACCUCUAACUGGGGAAUAGCUCCGAGAAAUCGGAAUUAAUACCGCUUAAAAUUAUCGGGUGGCAUCACUUGAUAAUCAAAACUCCGGUGGUUAGAGAUGGGCAUGCGUGACAUUAGCUAGUUGGUGAGGUAACGGCUCACCAAGGCGACGAUGUCUAGGGGGUCUGAGAGGAUGAUCCCCCACACUGGUACUGAGACACGGACCAGACUCCUACGGGAGGCAGCAGUAAGGAAUAUUGGUCAAUGGACGCAAGUCUGAACCAGCCAUGCCGCGUGCAGGAUGACUGCCCUAUGGGUUGUAAACUGCUUUUAUACGGGAAGAAACCCUCGAACGUGUUCGAGGCUGACGGUACUGUAAGAAUAAGGAUCGGCUAACUCCGUGCCAGCAGCCGCGGUAAUACGGAGGAUCCAAGCGUUAUCCGGAUUUAUUGGGUUUAAAGGGUGCGUAGGCGGCUUAUUAAGUCAGUGGUGAAAGCCUGCAGCUUAACUGCAGAAUUGCCAUUGAUACUGAUGAGCUUGAAUAUACUUGAGGUGGGCGGAAUGUGUCAUGUAGCGGUGAAAUGCUUAGAUAUGACACAGAACACCGAUUGCGAAGGCAGCUCGCUAAAGUAUGAUUGACGCUGAUGCACGAAAGCGUGGGGAGCAAACAGGAUUAGAUACCCUGGUAGUCCACGCCCUAAACGUUGAUAACUCGAUGUGUGCGAUAUACUGUACGCGUCUAAGCGAAAGCAUUAAGUUAUCCACCUGGGAAGUACGGUCGCAAGAUUGAAACUCAAAGGAAUUGACGGGGGCCCGCACAAGCGGAGGAGCAUGUGGUUUAAUUCGAUGAUACGCGAGGAACCUUACCCAGGCUUGAAAGUUAGCGACAGACCGAGAAAUCGGUCCUCCCGAAAGGGCGCGAAACUAGGUGCUGCAUGGCUGUCGUCAGCUCGUGCCGUGAGGUGUUGGGUUAAGUCCCGUAACGAGCGCAACCCCUAUCAUUAGUUGCCAUCAGGUAAAGCUGGGAACUCUAAUGAGACUGCCCGCGCAAGCGGCGAGGAAGGUGGGGAUGACGUCAAGUCAGCACGGCCCUUACGUCUGGGGCUACACACGUGCUACAAUGGGCUGUACAGAAGGAUGCUACCUGGUGACAGGAUGCUAAUCCCAAAAGCAGCUCUCAGUUCGGAUUGAAGUCUGCAACUCGACUUCAUGAAGCUGGAUUCGCUAGUAAUCGCGUAUCAGCAAUGACGCGGUGAAUACGUUCCCGGGCCUUGUACACACCGCCCGUCAAGCCAUGGAAGCUGGGGGUACCUAAAGUCGAUAACCGCAAGGAGUCGCCUAGGGUAAAACCAGUAACUGGGGCUAAGUCGUAACAAGGUAACCGUA